UUUAAAUUUCUGUCAGUGAUUUUUAUGUAUGUGAGAUAUGUGUGUUUGUUGUGUUAUGGCUGUAUAAGCUACUGGAUGCCAAAAAUUUCCUUCGGGAUGACUAA